rnacentral:rRNA from 1 species
GUGGGGAAUAUUGGGCAAUGGGGGCAACCCUGACCCAGCGACGCCGCGUGAGGGAAGACGGCCUUCGGGUUGUAAACCUCUUUUGUACGGGAAGAAGGAAGUGACGGUACUGUACGAAUAAGUCCCGGCUAACUACGUGCCAGCAGCCGCGGUAAUACGUAGGGGACGAGCGUUGUCCGGAAUUACUGGGCGUAAAGGGCGCGCAGGCUGUGCUGCAAGUCAGCUGUGAAAUGUCUGGGCUUAACCCGGGCAUGCGGUUGAGACUGCAGUGCUGGAGUGCUGUAGAGGCAAGUGGAAUUCCCAGUGUAGCGGUGAAAUGCGUAGAUAUUGGGAAGAACACCGGUGGCGAAGGCGACUUGCUGGGCAGCAACUGACGCUGAGGCGCGAAAGCCAGGGGAGCAAACGGGAUUAGAAACCCCGGUAGUCC